rnacentral:pre_miRNA from 12 species
UGAAAGACAUGGGUAGUGAGAUGUUAAUUUUACUUGUCUCACUACCUUGUCUUUC